rnacentral:lncRNA from 1 species
UAAAAUCAAACAUUAAUAUUCUAAUUAUUAAUAAUAACCUAAAAUUCUAAUUAAUCUAAUCCUAAAAUCAAACUAAACUAAUUAACAUUAUAAAAUCAAUAUCUAAAAUUAAUAUCUAAAAUUAAUAUCUAAAACUAAUAUCUAAAAUUAAUAUCUAAAAUCAACUGUAAUCAACCUAAUUAAAAAUAAUAUUCUAAAAUCAAAACUAAUUAAUCAAAAUUUAAAAGAAUUAGUCCAAGAUGCAUCUAAUUAAAUGAAAUUAGUGUAAAACAUGAAUGGCCAAGCUAGCCCAAGAAAAAAUAAAAACCGGAGGGAUCAACCUAACUUGGGCCCAAACGCGGCCCCGAUCCAGAUUGCACCAACGUUAUUGAAAAUCAUACGCAGGGAAGAGGACGGCAAAUGAACGACCAUUCGAUGAUGUCUCCCUUUCACAACCAGAACAAAAAAUGUGAAAUCGUGCGCUACUCCGUUCCAGGAAUCAACACGAGCGAUAACCACAUAACAAUCAUCCAUACACACUCGACUCAAUGAUUAAACCACAUGACCAAACUCGGACUUGGAUCGACGACAGUGGAACGGAUCUCCAGUUCACGACGAGCGUAAAUCGGAGUUUUAAGUUGUCGUAUCUCAUCCAUAUUAAGCAUAAAGUUGUUUGAGCGUAUACCUCUGAGAAUUUCGACGUGACGGCAACCGCGAGAUAAUUUUCAGGUUCGCUUCGAUUCACGAUAUCCUUCCAGUUCUUGCUUGGAUUCAUCAUCGUUUGCUGAAGCUUGGAUUCAUCAUCGUUUGCUGCUAUGCGUUUAUGCUAAUAUUGCUUGGAUUCAAAUUUGUCGCUGUUGUGCGUCGAUUUCCUUUUUAUGUUUGGAUUUGCUUCGUUUUUUUGAGACUUGCAUUGUUGUGGGUUGUGUGAAGAUUGGUGAGUUUUGUGUGUAAUGAAGGAUGAAUUUUGUGGAUUAAAGGUUGUGCAGCGCUGAAGGUUUAUGUGUAUUCUGAGUUGGAUUUGUUGAAGAUUGAAGGUUUUGGAUUGCAGGUUCAAUAUGUUGAGGGAGUGAAGGGUUCAAUUGUGUUGAAUUCUGGGUUUCUUGUUAUAAUUUUGGUUUGCAUGUGUCUUGGAAGAUGUAUAUUGAAGUGGAAGGUUAUGGAGGGUUGUUAGAACGGAAGAAUGUUAGAGGUGAUGAAGAUGGGAGCGCGGGGAUUUUGUUGUGCGGGUGAGAAUGACUCGUCCCAGAAAACCCUUAUGAAAUGCCAGUUCAGUGGCUUUUAUAGAGUUCAUCAACAUUGGAUUUGUGAUUUUAGUUUGUUGUGGAAAAAUUAUGGAUUUGCAGGGCCAUGUUUCUUAUUGCAUUUGUUCAUUACGUGCUUGUACCUAUAUUUUUUUUUGCUAUUUGGAUUUUGCAACUUGGUGUUUGGGCCUUGCUAUUUGUUAUUUUGGGCUUUGCUAUUUUCAUGUUAAUCAUUUACUCAAAGUUGAAUGUUGAGUUCUAUUCUAGAAAACAAAAAUGAGAUGGAUGGGCCAAAGCCUUCAAUUAAACAA